AUAAAUGAUGAUCAUUAGAAACCGAAAAAUAUGCUGGAAAUUACCGGCUGAGGCCUUCGGGCGUUUGAAGAUCUUCCAUGGCACUGAUC
rnacentral:snoRNA from 1 species